CACAAAGUUGAUGCUCAAGUAACCAGAUCACUUAUGCACAAGAGUUGAAACUCGCCAUCAAUACACUAAUGUAAACUCGACUUCACCAAGCACGCAGAAAAUGUUAUCUAAUUGACGAAGUUCUUCUCGCCGUAAGCAUCAAACUGUCACUGAACUACUUAAUACGUCGGGUACCUAUCAAAUUCUCUGGUACCUUGGCCUUGCGGGCGUCGACAUGCGUUUCAUGUUUCACAAUUCCUCUGUGGUUAAUGCUAAUUGGCGUUAACAUGGACUUGCAUAUAUUUAUUGUUUACUGUGAGGAUCAAUUGAAAGUUGAAGUGGAGAUAAAGCUACUUAUUACACGACAACUCCCUUUGUUUCUGGUUGUUUAUGAUUACGAGGGCGGAGUGUCAAGAAUUAAACCGAUAUUGCAGCAGUUCUCUCUUGUAUUUAUGUACUUACUACUCGGUCAUGAAAAAGCCCAUUGUUAUUUUCUUUUAUGUUGAUCAUUAUGCUGUUAAGUUCAAGGAAUUGAAGCAACUUAACUUAACUUUCUUUUUGUUUUCCUUUCUUUCUAUUCAUUUGUUCUUUCAAACUAAGUAACCGUUUUUAUUGUAAUAUUAAACCAUUAUUUUGUAAAUACUAAUGUAAUAAUACUUUUGUAAAUACAUGCAUGUCUGCAGAUUGUACUAUAUAUAUAUAUAAUUAAUGAUAAUAAUUUUAUUCAUACAAAAUAUAUAUAUAUAUAUAUAUAUAUUUAACAA